rnacentral:lncRNA from 1 species
CAUCUUUACAUUUCUGAAGUCUUAGACUAGCAAAUUUGACAUCAAUUUGAGAACCAAGUCCUCAUUUUUCGGCCUCUUCUACCAGGCCACACUGUUCAGUUAUUUUACGAAUUGCAAAUUGAAAAGGUACUUUAUUUUUCACAAUUCCGUCCAGGUACUCUGGGUCAAUAUAACUUAUCAAACAUUCCAUAUACAUCUGAAUUAUUUUCAUCAUAGGACUGACCAGGGUUUUAGCUGGAUAA